rnacentral:rRNA from 1 species
UACGGAGGGUGCAAGCGUUAUCCGGAUUCACUGGGUUUAAAGGGUGCGUAGGCGGGUAAGUAAGUCCGUGGUGAAAUCUCUGAGCUUAACUCAGAAACUGCCGUGGAUACUAUUGCCUUGAAUAUUGUGGAGGUGAGCGGGAAUAUGUCAUGUAGCGGUGAAAUGCUUAGAUAUGACAUAGAACACCUAUGGCGAAGGCAGCUCUCUGGGCCGAUACUGACACUGAGAAGCGAA